rnacentral:rRNA from 1 species
GGAGGUGGCAAGCGUUGUUCGGAAUUAUUGGGCGUAAAGAGCACGUAGGUGGAUUUGUUAGUCAGAUGUGAAAGCCUUUUGUUCAACGGAAGAAUUGCAUCUGAAACUACAAACCUUGAGUAUAGGAGGGGAGAGUGGAACUUCUGGUGGAGCGGUGAAAUGCGUAGAUAUCAGAAGGAACGCCGGCGGCGAAAGCGACUCUCUGGCCUAUAACUGACACUGAGUGUGCGAAAGCUAGGGGGAGCAAACGGGAUUAGAUACCCCGGUAGUCCUAGCCGUAAACGAUGGGCACUAAGUAGGGGGAACUACCCGAUGUUCUCUCUGCCGUAGCAAACGCAUUAAGUGCCCCCGCCUGGGGAGUACGGCCGCAAGGCUA